CUUGACCGAACCCAGCCACAGCGGCUCGUCCCGGUCACGCCCGUAGGUUGCCAGCAGCGCCUCGGCCUC
rnacentral:antisense_RNA from 1 species